rnacentral:rRNA from 1 species
UACGUAGGGUGCAAGCGUUAAUCGGAAUUACUGGGCGUAAAGCGUGCGCAGGCGGUUCUAUAAGACAGAUGUGAAAUCCCCGGGCUCAACCUGGGAACUGCAUUUGUGACUGUAGAGCUGGAGUGCGGCAGAGGGGGAUGGAAUUCCGCGUGUAGCAGUGAAAUGCGUAGAUAUGCGGAGGAACACCGAUGGCGAAGGCAAUCCCCUGGGCCUGCACUGACGCUCAGGCACGAAAGCGUGGGGAGCAAACAGG